AGGUUGGGUCUCUUGGGGCCAGACCAAGCAAAACAUAUUAGACAGUAGUAACGUUUCAUUCCUCCAGUAAAUCUCUAAAAAUAUCGAGCAGGGACCUUAGCCACAUAUUUCUGAGUAGAGAACAACGACGAUGAGGUUCCCUUCGCAGGAGAGAUGAAACCGAAGAUUAUUCCGGUUUCUACAGCCAAGAGAUAGGGAUGGUCGUCGGUGUCAUCGUCCUGCGUUAAGGAAACCUUGUAUCUUUGCAGCCUUAUGUAUGCGUUUAUGUUAUUUACUACCCUAGCUAUUUCUAGAAAAAAAAAAAAAAAAUUGUUGGUUUUGCUCAAAGGGUUCAUCUGGCUGCAGAUUUGUGUACCGGAAAAUGGUACUGAAAAAAUGACCGACACUUUUACUAUGUAGUAAGAGAAGGCAUUAUGUUGAGAAUAUGCGUCGAGUGGAGUCAACGGAAGCCAACGGCUGCAGCUCCGCUCUUUCUUGGUUUCUUUCCGAUCCGCGAGCUUACAACCUCCAGAGUGCUGAGCCUCCAUUGAGCCAUCUUUCCUAAAUCGCCAAAUGAAAAGAUUACGCCAUAUAUGCUAUGUCAGUUGCUAUUAUCCGACACUCCUCCUCAGUUUCUAUGCACAGUAAAUUGUGCAUCAGAUUCUGUAGUCAUUCGUUUCAACUUUCAAGUGAGAGAUGCAAGGAAGCCUUCAAUCUGUACAAUGAAGAAAGGAGAAAGGAGAGGGCUCAAGAGUAUUUAAGUACGAUGAUGAUGUUGUGAAGACGUGAUUUUAGUAACGUGUUACUAGCAUGAAUGAGCUAAUUACCGAGGAUGUUGUGAUAGUAGAUCUUGAAUGUUUAAACUCCCAAUUGCGAGUUGCAUAAUUAGCUACUGACUAAAUUGUGGUUAUGAAGCUACUAAAUUAUCUCUAUUUUGUAAACAUAAUCCUUAAGCAGUUUAUGUUUCUGAUCAAUUCUCAAAUCAGGUUCAAACUGGUAACUACUUCCACAACUGAAGCUACCAUUCAUCCUCAGUGCUCCAAAGAAACAAACAUCGGAACCACCUAUCAUCCCAUAAGAAAAGGCAUGAUUGCAUAGCACUUCUUCAAAAGAACCGGAGGGAAAAGAAGGAGCAAGAGAGAUCAACAAUUGAGCAUGAUGACAUUCCCGUUCUAGUGAUAGAAUUGGGGUACGUUACAUGUAAUCUCUUGUACUUUUGUCUAAUGCCACGUUAUCCCUUAGGUUUCAAAAUAAUUAUAAUCCUCCUGUGAAUUUA